rnacentral:rRNA from 1 species
UACGUAGGCAGCAAGCGUUGUUCGGAGUUACUGGGCGUAAAGAGUGUGUAGGCGGUGCUCUAAGUCUGUUGUGAAAUCUCCCGGCUUAACCGGGAGGGUGCGGCGGAAACUGGGGGGCUUGAGGGUGGGAUAGGUAAGUAGAAUUCCUGGUGUAGCGGUGAAAUGCGUAGAUAUCAGGAGGAACACCUGUGGUGUAGACGGCUUACUGGAC